rnacentral:rRNA from 1 species
AUUAGUAGUUAUAGACUAAAAAUUUGAAAAAUUUGGCGGUGAUUAUAGUCUUGUCAGGGGAACCUGUUUUUGAAUCGAUACACCACGAAAUAUCUUACUUAAGCUCGUAAAGUAUGUAUACCAUCAUUAUUAGGUAAUUUUUAUAAAAUUAAUUGCUGGUUUUAAUUAAUAAUGUUAAAUAUAUUAGAUCAAGGUGCAGCUUAUGCUUAAGUUAAAAUGGGUUACAAUAAAUACUUAUUUAUUACGGAAAAUUAGUUUAAACACUAAUUCUAAGGAGGACUUGAUUGUAAACUAAAUUUAAUAUGUUUUGUAGAUAUAAGCUCUAAAUCAU